rnacentral:rRNA from 1 species
GUGCCAGCCGCCGCGGUAAUACGUAGGGGGCGAGCGUUGUCCGGAAUUACUGGGCGUAAAGGGUGCGUAGGCGGUAUGUUAAGUCAGGUGUGAAAUCCCACGGCUCAACUGUGGUGUUGCACUUGAAACUGGCAUGCUAGAGUGCAGGAGAGGGAAGUGGAAUUCCUAGUGUAGCGGUGAAAUGCGUAGAGAUUAGGAGGAACACCAGUGGCGAAGGCGGCUUCCUGGCCUGUAACUGACGCUGAGGCACGAAAGCGUGGGUAGCGAACAGGAUUAGAUACCCUGGUAGUCCACGCCGUAAACGAUGGAUACUAGGUGUAGGAGGUAUCGACCCCUUCUGUGCCGUAGUUAACGCAAUAAGUAUCCCGCCUGGGGAGUACGGCCGCAAGGCUAAAACUCAAAUGAAUUGACGG